UCUGAAAUGGCAUACUACAUACUGCUCGUAUACUGAUCGUGACGUAAAAGUAGUAAGUAGUAUGCAGUACGCGAAAAAUGUUUUUUUGCAGUAUGUGACAGUUACCCGGAUGAUGUACUAAUCGGGCAAAAAUUCCUAGUAUACAUCCAGAGCUCACUACGUCGGAUACUGUAUCCCAUAACGCAACGCGGCACCGUUGGAAAAAAACCGUUGAACAUUUCGAAUAAUGGCGGCGGAAAAUGCGAGCGAUGAAUAUAAAUGGACUGAUGUAGACACCGCAGCUCUCAUCAGUUGGAGAUCUACGAAUGAGGGCAUGUUCACGGGCAGGAGGAAUGCGGCGCAGAAGGGGUUCGAAGAAUUUAUUAAGGUCCAGGGGCUAGAGGGGAAGAUGGAGGCCACCAAAAUUAAAAGGAAAUGGGAGAACCUCA